rnacentral:rRNA from 1 species
UACGUAGGGAGCAAGCGUUGUCCGGAAUCAUUGGGCGUAAAGCGCGCGUAGGUGGCUUCGUAAGUCCGUUGUGAAAGUCAAAGGCUCAACCUUUGAAAGCCGAUGGAUACUGCGGAGCUAGAGUACGGAAGAGGCGAGUGGAAUUCCUGGUGUAGCGGUGGAAUGCGCAGAUAUCAGGAGGAACACCAAUAGCGAAGGCAGCUCGCUGGACGUUACUGACACUGAGGCGCGAAAGCGUGGGAGCGAGCAGG